GUUAGUUUUACCCUACUGAUGAUGUAUUGUUGCAAUGGUAAUCCUGCUCAGUACGAGAGGAACCGCAGGUUCAGACAUUUGGUGUGUGUGCG